rnacentral:tRNA from 1 species
GGGGCCAUGACUCAAUGGUAGAGCAUCUGCUUUGUUUGUACAAGGUCCUGGGUUCAGUUCCUGGUGUCUCCA